rnacentral:lncRNA from 1 species
CUAUAUAAAGUCCCUCAUGGGCGUUUGUAACUCUCUUAAGAGAGUAUGGGGGAUUUCCCCAUCUCCUUCAUAAAUAUAAAAGUGUGUUCUUGAUCAGAUUCCCUUAAUCUACCCCUUUCUUAGUCUUUAAUCUAUCCAAUCUCUCAAAGUCUCUUUGUUUCUGAUUCAAGUUCAUACUAGUUUCAUCAGACCUCUUAUUCAACUAGUUCAAGACCUUAUUCUUUGCCUUUACUGGCUUUUCAUACACAUACACAGCCAGAGCUCUCAAAUCUCAUAUGGUAUCAGAGCCAGGUUCAUCAGAACCUGAGCUGAGCUUCCGCAAAUCCACAGCUCUCACCUUAGUUCAAAUCCAAGCCAUGAAGAAGACAGCUCCAUCCGGUUCAGCUUCUCCAUGAAGACUGAAGCUUGGCGUGUCAUUCUGGUUCCUCAAACCUUUCUCAUACCUGUCUUGAUGAAGAGCCACCUUGGAAGCAAAGGAGGAUGGAGAGGCGUCAUGAACCUCAGGCCAAAACUCCUUGUCCAUGAGCUGCUUGCAUCCGGCUACAAGAAGAGUAGAUGUCAUGAAGAUGGCGACUUGAAGUAUGAAGAAAGGAGGGGUGUUUGAGCUGUAGAAACAAGAAGGUGGCCAUGAGUAGAAGGAGGAGAGGCUGGGUGACGAUCCAUACUCUCAUGUCCAACAAAACCAUGAGCCAUAAUCCAUUGGAGGUUCAAGGAACCAAACCGGUUCCUUGGCUGUAAGCUAUUACUGUCCCUUCUUGAUAAUGAGCUUGUGUUGUGACUGUGCCUGG